AGUGAACGCUGGCGGUAGGCCUAACACAUGCAAGUCGAACGGCAGCACAGUAAGAGCUUGCUCUUACGGGUGGCGAGUGGCGGACGGGUGAGGAAUACAUCGGAAUCUACUUUUUCGUGGGGGAUAACGUAGGGAAACUUACGCUAAUACCGCAUACGACCUACGGGUGAAAGCAGGGGAUCUUCGGACCUUGCGCGAUUGAAUGAGCCGAUGUCGGAUUAGCUAGUUGGCGGGGUAAAGGCCCACCAAGGCGACGAUCCGUAGCUGGUCUGAGAGGAUGAUCAAGCACACUGGAACUGAGACACGGUCCAGACUCCUACGGGAGGCAGCAGUGGGGAAUAUUGGACAAUGGGCGCAAGCCUGAUCCAGCCAUACCGCGUGGGUGAAGAAGGCCUUCGGGUUGUAAAGCCCUUUUGUUGGGAAAGAAAAGCAGCAGGUUAAUACCCCGCUGUUCUGACGGUACCCAAAGAAUAAGCACCGGCUAACUUCGUG
rnacentral:rRNA from 1 species